rnacentral:ncRNA from 1 species
AGAUGGUGCUUACGAGAGUAAGCUUAAAAGGGAAGUUUGGUGAAAAUCCAACGCUGUCCCGCAACUGUAAGUAGGAGUCUUUUAUAACGAUGUCACUGAUUAUUCGGGAAGGCAUAAAAGACGAUGAAUACGAGCCAGGAGACCUGCCAUACUU